rnacentral:rRNA from 1 species
ACUCCUACGGGAGGCAGCAGUGGGGAAUAUUGCACAAUGGGCGCAAGCCUGAUGCAGCCAUUCGCCGUGUAUGAAGAAGGCCAUUCGGGGCUUUGGUUAAAGAUACUUUUCAGCAGUGAGGAAGGUGGAGUCGUUAAUAGCGGCCUCAUUUGACGUUAGCUGCAGAAGAAGCACCGGCUAACUCCGUGCCAGCAGCCGCGGUAAUACGGAGGGUGCGAGCGUUAAUCGGAAUUACUGGGCGUAAAGCGCAUGCAGGUGGUUUGUUAAGUCAGAUGUGAAAGCCCGGGGCUCAACCUCGGAAUUGCAUUUGAAACUGGCAGACUAGAGUACUGUAGAGGGGGGUAGAAUUUCAGGUGUAGCGGUGAAAUGCGUAGAGAUCUGAAGGAAUACCGGUGGCGAAGGCGGCCCCCUGGACAGAUACUGACACUCAGAUGCGAAAGCGUGGGGAGCAAACAGGAUUAGAUACCCUGGUAGGAUAGCGU